rnacentral:ncRNA from 1 species
UGACAUGGGGUGCUCCGCACGGCGGGGCUGAGAUCACACCCAUCGAACCUGAUCUAGUCAGUACUAGCGAAGGGAUCGUCAU